UUAUUAUUUGAGGGAAUGAAACACAAGAAGCGAUGAAACUUGAUAAACUAGAAGCUGGAAAUAAAUUCACACAAUCAAAAUCACGCACAUGGCCACCUCGCCACAUUCUUGAAUUUUCAGAAACUUUCCACCAUCGGGAUCGCACUUCAAUUGCUUCCCCCGCUAAAUUAACACCUCUCUGAUGCUUCCGCCACCUCUCCAUCAAGUUAUUGGCAUCAUCGAUCAUCAAUGAACAAUCCCAGACUCACCCAAUUGCCCGAUCCCUUUUACAUCUUCACAAAUUUCGGGAUUUCUGAGAAAUCCUCUUGCGCGGUGACUCACAGCGAGCAUUUUCAUAAUCGAAAGGUCGAGUCUUGAAGAAUUCUUGAGGUGCUUUCCGGAGCAAGUCUCGGUGCAGCGAUGGUGAGUGAGAGCGAGAUUGGCAGAAAGAGGAAAUUGUUGCUAGGGAUUGGGUAUUUUGUGCAGGGGCUGAGGUGCUUUCCAUGGAUGGGGAUGAAUUUCUUCCUCAAGGAUGGGAUGCGAGUGGCUCCCGCCACCCUUCAGAUCCUUCAGAAUUCGGCCAAUUUGCCCAUGGUGGCUAAGCCCUUGUACGGCAUUCUUUCCGAUUCCUUCUACGUCUUCGGCGAGCACCGUAUCCCCUACAUAGCCUUUGGAGCUUUUCUACAGGCAGUAUCAUGGAUGGCUAUUGCAAUCUUUGCGGCAUCAGGCAUCUCCUUCGCGUCUAUUACAUUUUAUCUCCUUCUUGGAAAUUUGGGUGCUUCUAUAGUUGAAGUUGCAAAUGAUGCCAUGGUGGCAGAGACUGCAAAACAACCUAUUUCUUCUUCCAAAAAACCCAAAUCCUCUUCAUCUGGUGGGCUGCAGUCGUUUGUCUGGAUGGCCUCGUCGAUAGGUGGAGUUCUGGGAAAUCUUAUAGGUGGUAUUCUUAUUGAUCGGUUUCCCCCACGGAUGAUGUUUUUAAUCUAUGGCAUUCUCCUUUCGUUUCAGUUCUUAAUAACCGGACUAAUUCGAGAGACCACUUUAGCCCUACCAAAGAGUUCAUCCCUAGGUUUUAGGAAGCAAUUAUCCGAACUCUUUGCUGCUCUCAAGAAGCCGGACAUCCUUUACGCAAUAAUCUGGUUUGCGUUUUCCUAUGCUGUGAUCCCAGCCCUAACAGGCACCAUGUUCUUCUACCAAACUCAACAUUUGAAGAUCGAGUCAUCACUUCUUGGGAUAUCGAAGGUGGUGGGCCAAGCAGCCAUGCUGCUAUGGGGUGCUGUUUACAAUCGCCACCUCAAGUCAAUUUCAUCGAGAAAACUGAUCGUAGCUGUUCAGGGGACCAUGGUGGUAUUCAUGGUAUCAGAUUAUCUUUUCGUGAAGGGUUUCUACCAGAACCUUGGCAUUCCCGACUCCUUGUAUGUCAUCAUAUUCUCCGGCUUGCUCGAGGUUCUCUACUUCUUCAAGAUUCUACCUUUCAGCGUUCUGAUGGCGCAGCUCUGUCCACCGGGUUGUGAGGGCUCCAUAAUGGCAUUUGUCAUGUCCGCCAUCGCACUUGCAUUCAUAGUGAGUGGCUACCUAGGCGUCGCCCUCGCCUCCUAUUUUGGGGUAAGCGGAGAUGAUUUCUCGGGCCUGCCGGGAGCUCUUAUGGUGCAGGCAGCGUGCACGCUCGUGCCCAUCUUCUGGGCGUCGUGUGUUCCAGACGACGUGAAGGCUAAAGGAAAGUCGAAGAAGAACUAGCCGCCGUCGCUAGCCAGGUGCUGGAUGGACGACACAUGGAUUUCUAUUCAAUUUCAUUUCCUUUUAUUUUUUUGAACCAUUUAACUCAACCCAGGUUCGAAAUCGGCCCCCAUCUGCCAGCUGGUAGUAGGCGUUGGGUUGGAGGUUGUCUUCGGCUUUGGGCUGAAACACGGAAGUUGUAUUCCGCCGCUUGGGCAUUCCUCUUCUCUCUCCCGCCGAUUCCAGUCGAAGUGCGGAAUUUUCGUGUUACGGUUCGGCCGUCCGACGUUGUUUCCAGUGGUAGGCGUUGGGUCGGAGGUUGUUUUCGACGUUCGGCUGAAACCCCGCUGUUGUGUUCCGGUACUUGGGCAUUGCCGAUUUCCAUUUCAUUUCGGCGUGAUUAGUGAGGUUGUCUUCGACGUUCGGCUGAAACCCCGCUGUUGUAUUUCGGCGCUUGGGCAUUGCCGAUUUCCAUUUCAUUUCGGCGUGAUUAGUGUGUUUCCCAUUCGAGGUUAGUGGUUUCCCUUUUUCUUUUAAGAUUUUGGGUUUGCAUGUCCGAUUUGACAAUGCGAUGAUUUUGGUCGUAAGUUUUUUCUGGUGUUGAAGAGAAGCCUAAACUAAGAAAUAUGAGUAAGAAAAAAAGUGGAGCUACGAAGGCACUUGAGGACCUAGGUUUGGUGUAUUUGUUUUGAUUUGUUGUUUUGUUCGAAAUCCUUGUGCAAUAUAAUUUAGUUUUUGGCCCAUUGGCUGUUAGUGUGAAAGAGAUAUGUGUUUGUUGGUUGGAA